rnacentral:rRNA from 1 species
UACGUAGGGGGCAAGCGUUGUCCGGAAUCAUUGGGCGUAAAGAGCGUGUAGGCGGCCCGGUAAGUCCGCUGUGAAAGUCCAGGGCUCAACCCCAGGCGUGCGGUGGAUACUGCCGGGCUAGAGGAUGGUAGAGGCGAGUGGAAUUCCCGGUGUAGCGGUGAAAUGCGCAGAUAUCGGGAGGAACACCAGUAGCGAAGGCGGCUCGCUGGGCCAUACCUGACGCUGAGACGCGAAAGCGGUGGGGAGCAAACAGG